CAAUAGCGUAUAUUUAAGUUGCUGCAGUUAAAAAGCUCGUAGUUGGAUUUCGGGUGGGAAUGGCCGGUCCGCCGUUUCGGUGUGCACUUGCUACGCCCACCUUGCUGCCGGGGACGUGCUCUUGAGUUCACGCUCGGGACACGGAGUCGGCGAGGUUACUUUGUGUAAAUUAGAGUGUUCAAAGCAGGCCUACGCUCUGAAUACAUUAGCAUGGAAUAACACGAUAGGACUCUGGCCUAUCUUGUUGGUCUGUAGGACCGGAGUAAUGAUUAAGAGGGACAGUCGGGGGCAUUCGUAUUUCAUUGUCAGAGGUGAAAUUCUUGGAUUUAUGAAAGACGAACUACUGCGAAAGCAUUUGCCAAGGAUGUUUUCAUUAA
rnacentral:rRNA from 1 species